GGUCGGGGACACCACUGGAAACGGUGGCUAAUACCGGAUGUGCCGAAAGGUGAAAGAUUUAUUGCCUAGAGAUGAGCUCGCGUCUGAUUAGCUAGUUGGUGUGGUAAGAGCGCACCAAGGCGACGAUCAGUAGCUGGUCUGAGAGGAUGAUCAGCCACACUGGGACUGAGACACGGCCCAGACUCCUACGGGAGGCAGCAGUGGGGAAUUUUCCGCAAUGGGCGAAAGCCUGACGGAGCAAUACCGCGUGAGGGAGGAAGGCUCUUGGGUUGUAAACCUCUUUUCUCAGGGAAUAAGAAAGUGAAGGUACCUGAGGAAUAAGCAUCGGCUAACUCCGUGCCAGCAGCCGCGGUAAUACGGAGGAUGCAAGCGUUAUCCGGAAUGAUUGGGCGUAAAGCGUCCGCAGGUGGCACUGUAAGUCUGCUGUUAAAGAGCAAGGCUCAACCUUGUAAAGGCGGUGGAAACUACAGAGCUAGAGUACGUUCGGGGCAGAGGGAAUUCCUGGUGUAGCGGUGAAAUGCGUAGAGAUCAGGAAGAACACCGGUGGCGAAAGC
rnacentral:rRNA from 2 species